rnacentral:lncRNA from 1 species
CCUUGCAGCCGCAUCACUCUCUCUCCCCGAUCUCUCUCUCCCUCUCGUCCUCCCUCUGCCAUCACCGGAAAACCCCAUCUCCGGCCACUGUCUUGCAAAACCGCCACCACCCUUCGAACCAGCUCCUAUAUCCGACCAAAACCCGAGCCCAGCACCACCAUGCAUCGUCUCCAACCUCCACACGCUACCACCAAACCCGCGACACCACCGCCUUCCAUAAUCCUCCGGUCUCCAGUCUCUGAUUCACACCACCAUUAUCAGAAAUUGAAGCACCAAGCCUUGAGGAGACCAUGCCUUAAAUCCCGAAGCCGGAAAACCGCCGUACGAGCUCGCCGGAACUCGUAGCUAGCUCUGCAUGCCUUCGUUCCCCAACCUCCAGUCCAAGUCGAGCUAAACUACCUCCAUAGAUGUAAUCAGCGCCUCACUACCCACCUGUUUCUAAGAUGCAGACCUCCGAUUUCGACUAGAGCCGUCGCACGCGCUACACGCACCGCCGCUGGCGCGUGGACCGCCAUAGCUCCGCCGGCGUAAGC